rnacentral:rRNA from 1 species
CUACGGGGCGCAGCAGUAGGGAAUAUUGCGCAAUGGGGGAAACCCUGACGCAGCCACGCCGCGUGAGUGAGGAAGGCCUUCGGGUUGUAAAGCUCUGUCAGUAAGGAAAAAUGGUAUAUAAGUUAAUAGCUUUUAUAUUUGAUGGUACUUACAAAGGAAGCACCGGCUAACUUCGUGCCAGCAGCCGCGGUAAUACGAAGGGUGCAAGCGUUGUUCGGAUUUAUUGGGCGUAAAGCGCGCGUAGGCGGAUUUGAAAGUCAGGUGUGAAAUCUCGGGGCUUAACCCCGAAACUGCGCCUGAAACUCCAAAUCUAGAAUCUCAGAGAGGAAUGUGGAAUUUCGCAUGUAGGGGUAAAAUCCGUAGAGAUGCGAAGGAACACCAGAGGCGAAGGCGGCAUUCUGGAUGAGUAUUGACGCUGAGGCGCGAAAGCGUGGGGAGCAAACAGGAUUAGAUACCCUUGUAGUC